AUAUUACAGAACAACAGGAAGUACCUCAAGAGAUCAGUGAUGCCAUCUCAAAACCUUUUGAUGAUCAGUUUGAUGAGAGCUGGCAGAGUUGGAACAGGAAGAACUAGAAGACAGUGUGAAGAAUAUGGGCAGAUUACCAAGUGUACCAACCACCAAACUGCCCAGUGCAAGACAAAGCACAAAGAAGACCACAUAGCAAAUGUCUUCUGGCCCAGAUAUGGGCCACACAAUCACUUUUCCCUCGGCCCAAGUACCGCAAAGAAUGAUAGCCCAGAAGUGGCCCAGAACUGGAUUAAAGACUCGGGCCACACAUGGGCCAUAACAAGCCCGAAUCUCAGCCAGUUAAUCAGCCUUAGCUGGCCUUGAUCUGGGCCAAAACAGGUUUUAUUAUUGGUGCCAAAUCUCAGCCUUAAGUAAACCAGAAUCCCCAAACCUGAGCCACACCUGAGCCUUAUAUAGUCCAGACCCAACCCAGACAGCAAGCAUUGUCGGCCCGAAUGGAUUUCACGUGGGCCGGAUCUGGGCCAAUACUAUAUUGCUGUCUGGGAAUUUUAAUAUUUCAUAUUAUUACCUUGUGUAUUACUAUU